UUGCUUCCGCCUCCCGGGGCCCGCCCUGCGGCCGGGCCGCGGGGACCGUGCCCCUUGGGGAGCCUCGGACCCGCGGCCCGGCUCCUCACCCCACCCCCCACCCCCUACCCCCCACCCCCCGCAGGCUCCCAAACUUCUGUCUCCCUCCGGAAGGCCCGAUGGCGGCGCGGGACCCGCCAGACGGGCCUGCGGCGCGCCCUGGUGCUGGGCCCGUCGCCACGCGUGGCCGCUCCUGGUUUGCAGGUGCCACACGGGGCCGAGUCGUGCCUCAGGUGGCUGCCCAGCUUUGCUCAGCUUUUGUGCGCUGGGGUGAAGGCAAAUCUACUCUGUCCUUCUGUCCUGCCCUGUGCCCAGGAGGCCAGUGGCUGUCUUCACUGGACCUUCACCAACAGGACAGCCUGCUUCGGGUUGAAGUCGGCUGAGAGGCUGGGUGUGCCCUACUCCCCUCCCGCCUGGCCUCUACCGGGACCGUGUCUGUGUCCCUCUGUGAGGACAGGGCUUGUAGGCCUUCCUGUUCAGUUGUGACAACUGGUGUCAGGCUCCAAGAACGACUCCCUGCCUCUUUAGGCUGCGGUGCUGUCCCUGGACAGCAGCACCCCUGGCUGGGUCACAGAACCGUGACAGUGCCGCGGCAAAUGUCUCUCCUUCACACCGUCUCCUAAGUCUCUCAAGCCCCCUGCUUCCUGCCAGGACCUUGAUGGCUGAGCCAGAUUUUGACUAGCCUGCCUUGCAAACAGUGACAUUUGGAUGGAGGGUGUGCGGGCACAAGCAGACGUCUUGCAGGGCUGCUGGCAAAGGCUGCCCGUCUCUCAGGAGGGUCUGUUUUAGUCAACGGUGCAGACACAUGCCCUCUGUCCUGGCUGGUGGAAACCCAUCCUGCUCCAGGGCCCUGUCCCUGCAUGCCGAGGGGCAAACCCCGGGUCCUAUCAGCCAUUCCUCGCGGUGACUGCUUUAAAACAAGUCAAAGCCAAUGAGUCCUGCUGUGGGGGAAACGGCUGCUCACUCUUAAAAAGGCACAUAAAGAGGAAGCCCUCCUCACAUCUGGCCAGGUCCCAUGUCUGGGACGGGGCCCCCCUCAUGUCUGGCCGGGUCCCAUGUCCGGGACAGGAGGUCACUUGAGGAACUUCGUCACCGUGGGGAAGACAGCUUGGGAAGAUGGGAGGAAGCAUGGGUCCCCGAUGACACCAUUGGGCCAUUAACCAAUCCUCCUGCAUCUUAAUUUAAAACCUAUGGAAACAGAUCAGUUAGGACUCUAUAAAAGGAACAGAAAAUCCAAGUCCCCUGUGAACCAGUUACCUCUGUACGACAAAUCUCUACAAACUUGGGGGCUUUGACAAUAAGUGUUUAUUUCUCAGGACCCCGUGGUUUGGUGGGAUGGCUCCUUGGUGCUGACAGGGACUGUUCGUGCACCUGCAUUCUCUGGGGGACUCCGCUGGGCCUGGAAGGUUCUGGAAGGUUCAGGGGCUUCAGUCAUGUCCAGUGUCUCAGCCUGGGGGAUGAAAAGCUGGGAGCGGGCUGACCUCUGUUGCUCCACACGGUUUCUCAUCAGUCUAGCCUCUGCUUCCUUACGCGGCAGCUGGAAACCGAAAGGGCCAAAGUAGACGUUAUACAGCCCCUGAAAGCCGGGACACUGCUUCUGCCACGUUCUCUCAGGGAAAGUAGGUUCCAAAGCUGGCCCAGAUCCAAGGAGAGGAGUAGACUAGAUUUCACAUCUUGGUUGGAGGAGGGCCUGGCAGCAUGAGAGGAGAGAACUGUGUGCGGUCAUCUUGGAAAUCGUCUGCACAGACUGACUUAAAGAGUCAUGGGAAGUAUUGCCAGGAUCAUGGCCAGUCCCUAGUGAAAUGGCAGCGGGAAUAUGUGUCUCUCCGUUCCCACUGGGCAGAGAGAAUCUUGGACUCUGACUGGGUCGGCUAAGUGCACAUCCCUGGGUGGUAGAAUGCCGGUAGAUGGUCGGCAUAGGCCUGGAUUUAGUGCAGAUCCUUGACUGCUGACUGGCGAGCACCCGAGGAGAAUGGAGGGAUCUUACUCAUCGUCAGGUCAUGGGGACCCCCGCUGCCAACCCCCACAGCAUGGCUGCCUCACCACGGCAAGUUCUGUCUGGUGAGAGCGGGGACAAAGCAGGAGGCAAACUCCAGAACUGAAGUCAAACUGCGGGUUCACCUCUGGAUGCUCACCCACACCUGUGCACAGACUCGCGAACACCUGCUGUGCGUCCCUCCCCUCCACCUUGGAGAUGCCUCCAAUGGUAACCAGGGGUCUUGGGUUCAUUGACUUCUAAGUGAGAAAAACUUUGGGGAAAUAAGAAUGGGGGGGGCGAAAAAGUGGAACCUUCCAGGAAAGAUGGUUCAGAACUGUUACCUUUCUCUCCAACGACAAAGCUGAAGCCCAAACUGACUACUGAAGACACGGGACAGGGAAGUAUGAGCUAUUGAUGUGUUCUGUUUUUGUGUGAGGAAGGACAGGCACCCUGCGUUGGGGGGUUCGGCCUCCUCGGUGAUCAGCCUUGCCCCUCCAAGCUGCUGGAACAUUCUGUACCCCUCUCUCAGGCCACUGUCCCUGCAGGGCCAGAUGGUGUGGGCUCUGUCUUCCCACGGAUUGGUCCUGGGAUUCCCCGGUGGCAAAAAGCCACAGGCUCACUCUGGCCUCCCUCAUCCCUUUUGUCUGGAAUCUUCUGCGGCAACCCCACUUCGUCCCACAAACCUGCUCCUCCUUUGUAGUCACACCCUCAUCCCCUAUACCUUCCUCAGCUCCCUCUGUUACUAGUUUCUCUACUAGUACUUUUAAAGGCACCAACUCAGCAUAACUUAGUUAUUUGUCGAAAAGCCCUGGUUGCCAAUUAAAAUCACCCAGGGAUAUGUACAUAUUUUUAACAGAGAUUUCUUGGGACCCCUCCCUCCCCCCAGUCCCAACUCUUUGAUUCUAUCAGUCUGGAGUGGGGUCCCAGCAUCAGUGUUUUUUAAAAGCUCCGAGACCCGGCAAGUUGGAGAUCCGCUGGUCUGAACAUCUGUCUGCCUGCGAUGCCCUCUAUUACUGGUCCUGUUGUCCUCCCCAGGGCAUAGCACGGUCCCUUGUACAUGAUAGGUGCUCAGUAAAAGUGAAAAAGUAAAUGUCCCUACACUGCUAUUUCAGCCACGAGCACUCAUGGAGCAGGAUAAAGGGAGGGUACGAGGUUCCAGCACCGGUAGAGAAAACACCUGUGCGUUUAGACCAGGCAGUACGCGAGGGGGUGCUGUGGAGAGUGAGGUCCUGGGUUCAACUGUGACUGAGGUCACCUCACUCCGCCAGACUCGCCAUCCCCUUCUCCAGGAAUGUGGUGAUGAUACAGGGUCCGGUGUCCCCACACCUGGGAGGAGCCAGUGAGGAAGUGACUCCUGAGAGUCGGUCAGUACACAGGUAUCCAAAAUGGAAUAAGUUACCUUCAUUAUCAUUCUUAAUCCAGAAUAUGUGACUAGUAUGAGUGCCAGUCGCAAAGAAUUAUCAAGAUUACAUCUUCUGGGCAACGCUGGUGUGAGCUCUGCCGUGAAAACCAUCACCGAGUCCUGGGACUCCUGUGCUCACCAGGUCUGGCUGCGGGGUCCCCACGCUCGCCCAUCCUCAGACACCACCUGCUCUCUGACUCUUGUCCUUGACAGGUUUGUCUCCACUGUCGCUCUGUGCCUUUUUCUUCUUAGGCUUUCUUCCUUCAGGUGUGCAGACACGGCUGGGGAGUGAGCCCUAGAGGCUUUGCUCGGGGUCUUCAGGCCCUGCCCCUCCGCCGUGCUCAGUGCACCACCACGGAGACCCCGCUUCAACGCCUGCUGGGGCUGCCAUGCCAGGGGGUCGCCUGUCCCAAAGUGAGCCUGAUCUCAGUAUGUUUGCUUCUUAGUUCCCCAUUUCUCCCAGUUAUCUUUCAGUGAGAAAAUACAUAAAAGGAAAAGACGCUAAGAAUUAUUUUCUCUUUCCUGAUUUCUUUUCCACACUCCCUGCACCCCUGCCCCUUGUUUUUGUUUUUUUUUUUUUUCUAAAGAAAUCAAUUAUUUUAAUUCCAGUUUCCUUUCAGGAAAAAAAAAAAAAAAAGCUGAGUUCUGUGGAGCUUGAAAUUACCAAGAAAGUCAUGAAAAUAAUUUGUCGUCCUCAUUUAUUUGAACAGAAGCUUAAAGAGGCUGCUGACAACAGAAGUAAAGUCCAGGGCUUUGAGAUUGGAGCUGGACAAUAAUUCGGGUGGAGUGUCACUCAGAGCAGCUGCCCCGUCCAGGCGCUUUGCCGGCACAGGACAGUGUGUUGCUGCGCCUUUAUUUGUGGGCGUGUUCCAGAAAACAGGGAAAGUGCUUUUUCUUGUCCCUCUCUCUCUGUAAAGAGAAAGAUGAAAUGGUUUUCCUUAAGGGGAUGCAUGGCCUUAUUCCCCAGCUUGCUGCAUCCAGGGAGGAGACCCUAAGGAGCCCCAGCACAUUCCCUGGUGAGUCUAGGUUGCGGCAACUGGGAGCCCUGCCCUGCCUCACAGCCUGGGCGCCUGCCCCCUUACCACCAGUGUUGCCCCAGGCCCCUCCACUCGUGACCUCUGUACCAUCACACGACCUGGCCAACCAGUUGGGGCCUCCUCAGGUCCACCACAGUGGUCCUCGCGUGGGAGAAGGGCAAGCGUGUGCGUGUCUGAGAGGCUGACCCCCUGGCCAAGAGCCGCUGCCCAGAACAAAGCAGGACACCUCCGGCCAGCACUCCCAACAAGGUCAAGAUGUAUGUGUGUCCAGGGCUGUCUGCAGAGGGGAGAGUCCUCACACCGGAACAGCGGUCACACCGUCUCUGCCUCAGACCUGAGUGUCCUGUGGGGAAAGUGCUGGGCUGGGUCCAAAACAGCGUGCACCUGGAACAGAAGAGGAAAGGCAAAGAUCGGUUGGUUUCCAUCCGUGUAACCUGGCGGACGCGCAUCAGGUAUAAAUGGAGACAGGCUACCAAUUUGGGACUGAAAUGAUCAAUUUCUGGCCUAACAGAGCAGGAAGCAGACUGUGUGGCUCUGUUGGUGUGACGUCUCUUAGGAAAAGGAAGUCCUUGAAGAAUCUGUAUCCAGAGAGGCUGUGAGGAUGGAUGUUUUCUUCCAUCUGCUUUGGAAGCCUUCAGAGAAUGACCCAGAACUCCAGGAUCCUGAGCAAACCCCUCCAAGGUCCUGCUGGCUGGACUAAGAAUCAAAUUGACAUGAGACAUUAACAGGAGAAAAUCAAAUUUAAUGGGCGUGUGUAUGAGGAAUGCACACAGACCUGGAAAUUCUGAAGACAGUAGGGCAAACUGAGGUGUGUGUGUCAUGGGGAAUGCGAGGAUCUGGGGCCGCCGGAGAAAGGAACCCACCUCGCAGGGUGGAAAGAGGACAGAUGUUCGGCAAUUAGACGUCUGUCCUGCCGUACAGAUGGCUCACCCGGAUAACAUUCAUCUCUGCUAAUAGCUCUUACUCUGGGAAAGGCCCCCUGUUUAGAGUCUCCCGUGGAGUUAAAGGAAGCUCGGAAGUUUCUCCUGAGCCCACAGGGUCUCCGUUGCCCUCAGCUGGGAUCUCCGUGCCACAGCGGUCCUGGGGUCGGCCUGCCCUCAGUCCUGAACCCUGAGGCUGUCCAGAAGCCUGAGGUGAUGUCAGCAUUUAAGAUACCAGUAGAUUAUUUUUGCUCCCUCCCUGGUAAAAUUAGAAACUUAAUUAAAAUGUCAUCAAGUGAGGCUGCGAAUUCCACAUCCCGGAUCUGAAAUAUGCACAAUAGAACCUACCGCUUGCAUUAGUUUCCGCCCUUUAAAACACUUUUCUCAGCUGCUCCAGGGGGACGUUUGCCGGGUGGGGAAGGCAACGUCGCGGAGAAUGUCUUCCGUGCUGGUGACAAAGACACUCCUUCACCUGCUAGGUCCCACGUGAGUCUCGGUGGGAACGUCACCCACACCCCAUCCUUCACUGUCUCAGCAGAUCUGGGACCUGCUGUCGCGUCUGCGGGAUCGCCAGACUAGCUUCUGUGUCUCCUGUUUGGGCUCUGAUUCUCCGUCGUUCAGAAUUCCACCUAAAGUAAAAACAAAACAAACAAAAAACGAACUUCUUGCUGUGUUUAUCUUGAGGAUUUGGGAACUGUGUGAGGACAGACCAGGGCCAGAUGGAGCUGACCACUGGCCUGUAACGAGGGUAGCUCAGAACCUCCGAGGCUUCUCGAACCCCAGCGACCAGAGGUCCCUCAUCACACGUGUGUCUUCUGUCUCUGCCCUGCCUCCCCUUCCCUUCCUUCACCCUCUCUUCCCACCCCUCCUCACCCGCCUGCCAUGGCUGUGAGCUGGGGAUGGCUGUGUGGACCUCAGCUCAUGGGGGAGAGAGGGGGGUUCCCUUGGCUCGUCCUGAUGGCCGCGGCAGGAGGAUCAAUACCGCCCAGAGUCCCUAAUGGCAGAGAAAGGGACUGCUAAUAGCUCUGUGGCAUCUUGGUCUAACUAAGUCUCACGUGGCUGCCGAGGGUCUAUUUAUAAACCUUAUUGUUUGUUAUAUUACAAUCAUGGAGUCAUUUUACUUUUGUGAAUUUUACAAUAAAGAAUUUGAUCCUAUCACCCAA